GACGAACGCUGGCGGCGUGCUUAACACAUGCAAGUCGAACGGUAAGGCCCUUCGGGGUACACGAGUGGCGAACGGGUGAGUAACACGUGGGUGAUCUGCCCUGCACUUCGGGAUAAGCCUGGGAAACUGGGUCUAAUACCGGAUAGGACUCCGGACUGCAUGGUCUGGGGUGGAAAGCUUUUGCGGUGUGGGAUGGGCCCGCGGCCUAUCAGCUUGUUGGUGGGGUGAUGGCCUACCAAGGCGACGACGGGUAGCCGGCCUGAGAGGGUGACCGGCCACACUGGGACUGGGAUACGGCCCAGACUCCUACGGGAGGCAGCAGUGGGGAAUAUUGCACAAUGGGCGCAAGCCUGAUGCAGCGACGCCGCGUGAGGGAAGACGGCCUUCGGGUUGUAAACCUCUUUCAGCAUCGACGAAGCGAAAGUGACGGUAGGUGCAGAAGAAGGACCGGCCAACUACGUGCCAGCCGCCGCUGUAA
rnacentral:rRNA from 1 species